rnacentral:rRNA from 1 species
AGAGUUUGAUCCUGGCUCAGGACGAACGCUGGCGGCAGGCUUAACACAUGCAAGUCGAGCGGUUGUAGCAAUACAGCAGUGGCAGACGGGUGAGUAACACGUGGGAACCUUCCUAGGGGUACGGAACAACUCAGGGAAACUUGAGCUAAUACCGUAUACGUCCGUGAGGAGAAAGUUUUAACGCCCCUAGACGGGCCCGCGUAGGAUUAGGUAGUUGGUGAGGUAACGGCUCACCAAGCCUACGAUCCUUAGCUGAUCUGAGAGGAUGAUCAGCCACACUGGGACUGAGACACGGCCCAGACUCCUACGGGAGGCAGCAGUGGGGAAUCUUGGACAAUGGGCGCAAGCCUGAUCCAGCCAUGCCGCGUGAGUGAAGAAGGCCUUCGGGUUGUAAAGCUCUUUUACCAGGGACGAUAAUGACGGUACCUGAGAAUA